rnacentral:rRNA from 1 species
UACGGAGGGUCCAAGCGUUAUCCGGAAUCAUUGGGUUUAAAGGGUCCGUAGGCGGGCUUGUAAGUCAGUGGUGAAAUCUCCCGGCUCAACCGGGAAAUGGCCAUUGAUACUGCUAGUCUUGAAUUAGUAGGAAGUAACUAGAAUAUGUAGUGUAGCGGUGAAAUGCUUAGAGAUUACAUGGAAUACCAAUUGCGAAGGCAGGUUACUACUACUAUAUUGACGCUGAUGGACGAAAGCGUGGGUAGCGAACAGG